rnacentral:rRNA from 1 species
UAGGGAAUCUUCCACAAUGGACGCAAGUCUGAUGGAGCAACGCCGCGUGAGUGAAGAAGGCUUUCGGGUCGUAAAACUCUGUUAUUGAAGAAGAACGUGUGUGACAGUAACUGGUCAUGUAGUGACGGUAUUCAAUCAGAAAGUCACGGCUAACUACGUGCCAGCAGCCGCGGUAAUACGUAGGUGGCAAGCGUUGUCCGGAUUUAUUGGGCGUAAAGCGAGUGCAGGCGGUCUUUUAAGUCUGAUGUGAAAGCCUUCGGCUUAACCGAAGAAGGGCAUCGGAAACUGGGAGACUUGAGUGCAGAAGAGGAGAGUGGAACUCCAUGUGUAGCGGUGAAAUGCGUAGAUAUAUGGAAGAACACCAGUGGCGAAGGCGGCUCUCUGGUCUGUAACUGACGCUGAGGCUCGAAAGCGUGGGUAGCAAACAGGAUU